rnacentral:rRNA from 1 species
AUUGAACGCUGGCGGCAGGCCUAACACAUGCAAGUCGACCGCGUGGCGGACGGGUGAGUAAUGUCUGGGAAACUGCCUGAUGGAGGGGGAUAACUACUGGAACCGGUAGCUACUACCGCAUACCAUCAGAUGUGCCCAGAUGGCAUUAGCUUGUUGGUUGGGUAACGGCUCACCAAGGCGACGAUCCCUAGCUGGUCUGAGAGGAUGACCAGCCACACUGGAACUGAGACACGGUCCAGACUCCGACGGGAGGCAGCAGUGGGGAAUAUUGGACAAUGGGCGAAAGCCUGAUCCAGCCAUGCCGCGUGGGUGAAGAAGGUCUUCGGAUUGUAAAGCACUUUAAGUUGGGAGGCGUUACCAACAGAAUAAGCACCGGCUAACUUCGUGCCAGCAGCCGCGGUAAUAC